rnacentral:rRNA from 1 species
CCCUUAGAUGUUCUGGGCCGCACGCGUGCUACACUGAGUGGAUCAGCGGGUCAGGUUGCACGAAAGUGUUUCCUAAUCUUUAAAUCCGCUCGUGAUGGGGAUUGACGGUUGCAAUUUUCCGUCAUGAACGAGGAAUACCUUGUAAGCGCGGGUCAUCAUCCCGCGCUGAAUACGUCCCUGCCCUUUGUACACACCGCCCGUCGCUCCUACCGAUUGAGUGGUCCGGUGAGGCUUUGGGAUCUGAGCGGAAAGAGCGUUUCGCUGUUUCUGCCCGGAAAACUCAGUCGAACCUUAUCAUUUAGAGGAAGGAGAAGUCGUAACAA